rnacentral:rRNA from 1 species
UGAGGAAUAUUGGUCAAUGGGCGCGAGCCUGAACCAGCCAAGUAGCGUGAAGGAUGAAGGUCCUAUGGAUUGUAAACUUCUUUUAUAGCAGAAUAAAGUGACCCACGUGUGGGUUUUUGUAUGUAUGCUAUGAAUAAGGAUCGGCUAACUCCGUGCCAGCAGCCGCGGUAAUACGGAGGAUCCGAGCGUUAUCCGGAUUUAUUGGGUUUAAAGGGUGCGUAGGCGGAAAGAUAAGUCAGCCUGUGAAAGUUUGCGGCUCAACCGUAAAAUUGCAGUUGAUACUGUUUUUCUUGAGUGUACAUAAGGUAGGCGCAAUUCGUGGUGUAGCGGUGAAAUGCUUAGAUAUCACGAAGAACUCCGAUUGCGAAGGCAGCUUACCGGGGUACAACUGACGCUGAUGCACGAAAGUGUGGGUAUCAAACA